ACUCACGGAGUAACAGAGCAGUCUGCUCAGUUACAUGUGCAACGACUCCAGACCUCAGCACAACACGUGCCUCUGCCUGAAGGACAGGCUGGCAGCUGCAGGAGAUGGGAUUUUAAUGAAAUGGUGUCUUAAUGUAUAUUUUAUUACUGGAUGCACUUGCAAACCUUCCUGUUUGGCGGGAAAGGAUUCUCGAGUGAGCUUUUGAACAUAGAAGAGGGUGCUGCUUCAUUUGUGUCAACAGAAGAAAGCCUCUUUCACAUAGAAGAACGAGGUAGUAGCCAGACGACUUCUUUCCAGUGGAGGAGCCCAUUUGCUCCACAUCCCAUGGCAGGCAGGAUAUGUGACACCCUGUGAACAUUAUGCACGGAAUUACUUUCAUCUGUCUAUUUUGAAAUGCACACCUGAGUUCUUCUACACACAGAGGAAGGAGCUCACUAAAAGCUGGACACUGGAGGAUUGGGAACGGAAGAUCAAGAAGCAUCAUUUCAAGAGCCUGUUCCUGAUGUUUGUGAAGCAUUGUUAUUGCACAUAAGCCACUUUAAGGUUCCCCAGAGAGUCGCCCACACUGUUCUUCAACUCCUCCUUCCCCGGAUUGAGCUUCUCCUUUAGACCCGCAAACCCCCCCAGUGGCAUUUCUCCUUCCCUUGCUCUUCUGUCCCUCAAACACUUGUCUUCUCAC